ensembl:lncRNA
GGGGCAUCCCCCGAACCGGUUUCAGUUUGCCCUGUAGACAUCUGAUCACCUCCCUGCCAAAUGUUUUUGAGCUGCUCUCCAGUCCUUAUCUUUAUGGCCUUCAUCCUCCUUGUUAUUCCAGACCUAGUGUCUGUGAAAGUGCUUGGAAUCCCUUGUUUUCUAACACUCUCUACAUAAACUAUCUCUAUUUGCCCCUUAUUUCUACUUUGAGAAGCUACUUUCCCUUUUCUUGCUGUGAGGCCCCUCUCUCUAUGACUGCAGGGUCCUGUUCUCACUCUUCAGCAACCCCACAAGAGACGGAUCUUCUGACAGGCCAGGCAAAACAGACAACUGCUUGACACCUUCUGUGUCUACAGCAGCUAUUCCAAAGGCCCAUCGAUACCCUUUGGGAUCCUUGAAAUAUCCCCUUCUGAGCUAAUCAAUACCAACUAUACAGGGAGCCCCUGGGCCAGUCACAAUAGGAUGCUUUUGCCAGUCUUUACCAGUGAGGCUUAUUUCGGCCUCCAACAUAGUCAACUCUUGGGAACCCCCAGCCACCCCAUGAAUAUAAGUUGGUUUUGUCCCUUGGUGACCUGAGGGCAUUAGAGUGCACUGUGCACCAGUGUCCACCAGGGCCUUAUAUUUCUGUGGUUCCAGGCCACCUAAUCCACACAGUUCAAUACACUCUAUUAUCCCUUUCCCCCUCCUGGCUGGGGGCAGGGCCCCUCUAUUUGUUACCUCUGUUGUUCUUAUGGCUAUUGUGUCCCGCAGCAACUGGAGCACUCACCUUUUUGGAGAAGUUCACCUUGGUGGUUGAUCUGUCUUGUAAUUCUUUUACCCGUGCUUGAAGUGCAGGAGUAGGUUUUUUAUGCCACUUCUUCAUGUCUUCUCCAUGGUCACAUAGGUAACACCACAAGAC